rnacentral:rRNA from 1 species
UCCAGACUCCUAGGGAGGCAGCAGUGGGGAAUAUUGCACAAUGGGGGAAACCCUGAUGCAGCGACGCCGCGUGAGUGAAGAAGUAUUUCGGUAUGUAAAGCUCUAUCAGCAGGGAAGAAAAUGACGGUACCUGAUUAAGAAGCCCCGGCUAACUACGUGCCAGCAGCCGCGGUAAUACGUAGGGGGCAAGCGUUAUCCGGAUUUACUGGGUGUAAAGGGAGCGUAGACGGCGAAGCAAGUCUGAAGUGAAAAACCAGGGCUCAACCCUGGGACUGCUUUGGAAACUGUUUUGCUAGAGUGUCGGAGAGGUAAGUGGAAUUCCUAGUGUAGCGGUGAAAUGCGUAGAUAUUAGGAGGAACACCAGUGGCGAAGGCGGCUUACUGGACGAUAACUGACGUUGAGGCUCGAAAGCGUGGGUAGCAAACAGGAUUAGAUACCCGUGUAGA